CGCGAUGAAGUGGGCGCGUGAUCACAAACCCCAAAUCGAAGGGUGGAGAAGCCGGCGGAACCAUCCGGAGCGUGUACUCCACGUGGAUAAAGAAAAACAUACCCAAAGCAAAAACACAAGGUAUCCAAUGAUGCCUCGCCACGUAUACCACAUCCUCCACCGUCCAUCUCAGACACGACGCCUUCCCGAUCCCUUUAUAACAAUAUCCGCCGCCAUCGCCACCGUGGAAAUCCUUAUUCCCCAUCUUUCCUCCGCCGUUUCCGUUUCCGUUUCCGUUGGUAACUGCUCAUAGAUAAUGAUCCAUUCUCUAAGAGGCAUGUCCUCGUUCUUUCUCCUAAUCUAUAUUGCAGAUCGUAUUCUGUUUCAUAUGAUUAUUAGGAAGAGAAUUUUUGUUUUUACAUUUUGUGGAGUUAUUUUAAUGACUUCGAUUGAAG
rnacentral:misc_RNA from 1 species